CUUACCAAGGUUAGAAAUCCAGCUGCAUCCGACCUGAAAGGGACGGAGCCUUCGAGGGUGCUGGACAGGUGAUGCAUGGUCGUCGUCAGUUCGUGGUUUGAACUGUUCCCUUCAGUGGGGUAACGAACGCAACCCCCGUUGCCUGUUGCCUAUAUGGCCAGGCGAGACUGCUCCCUCACGGGAGAGGAAGGUGGGGAUGACGCCAGAUCAGCAUGUCCCUCUGAUAUCUUGGGCUGCACGCAUAAUACAAUGGUCGGUACAACGGGUUGCAAUGCCGCAAGGCGGAGCCAAUCCUUAUAAAACCGACCCCAGUACGGAUUGAGGUCUGCAACCGACCUCAUGAAGCCGGAAUCGCUAGUAAUCCCGGGUCAGCCAAACCGGGGUGAAUACGUUCUCAAGUCUUGUACUCACAAUAAAAGCGCACAGCAGUGCGCCUAUCUACGCGGUU
rnacentral:rRNA from 1 species